UUGCGCCGCAGGGGCAUCCGUGGGGGGCGCAGACCUUGACCCCUAGCCUAAGGCUUACGGCUAGGCGUAGGGUAUCCGGUUCUAAAUAUGUACCAGAGGGGGGGGAGGGGUAGGCAUGCAGCCACUGGCCGGAUUCCCGUUCUGCAGCAGCGAGCAGCCGCGCACGUAAAUUUUGCGCAUACCCAGCCCACCGAAUCUGAUGGGCAGGCACGCCUGGUUCCAAGAAUGCUCGCUAAGCUGUAUAUUUAGAAUGGUUUCAAGGGAAGAUCUAAUAAGGUUGUCAAUCGGUAAUAAGGAGUUUUGGUGUUUCCAAAAUGGACAGCA